rnacentral:rRNA from 1 species
GAUGAACGCUGGCGGCGUGCCUAAUACAUGCAAGUCGAGCGAACAGACGAGGAGCUUGCUCCUCUGACGUUAGCGGCGGACGGGUGAGUAACACGUGGAUAACCUACCUAUAAGACUGGGAUAACUUCGGGAAACCGGAGCUAAUACCGGAUAACAUGUUGAACCGCAUGGUUUAACAGUGAAAGACGGUCUUGCUGUCACUUAUAGAUGGAUCCGCGCCGCAUUAGCUAGUUGGUAAGGUAACGGCUUACCAAGGCAACGAUGCGUAGCCGACCUGAGAGGGUGAUCGGCCACACUGGAACUGAGACACGGUCCAGACUCCUACGGGAGGCAGCAGUAGGGAAUCUUCCGCAAUGGGCGAAAGCCUGACGGAGCAACACCGCGUGAGUGAAGAAGGUCUUCGGAUCGUAAAACUCUGUUAUUAGGGAAGAACAAAUGUGUAAGUAACUAUGCACGUCUUGACGGUACCUAAUCAGAAAGCCACGGCUAACUACGUG